rnacentral:rRNA from 1 species
GACGUAGGGCGCGAGCGUUGUCCGGAUUUAUUGGGCGUAAAGGGCUCGUAGGCGGCUCGUUGCGUCGGCUGAUAACGAACCGAGCUCAACUGUGGGCUUGCAGCCGAUACGGGCGGGCUAGGAUUCGGUAGGGGAGACUGGAAUUCCUGGGUGUAGCGGUGAAAUGCGCAGAUAUCAGGAGGAACACCGGUGGCGAAGGCGGAUCUCUGGGCCUUACCUGACGCUCAGGCGCGAAAGCUAGGGGAGCGAACAGG